UACGAAGGGGGCUAGCGUUGCUCGGAAUUACUGGGCGUAAAGCGCACGUAGGCGGCUCUUUAAGUCGGGGGUGAAAUCCUGGAGCUCAACUCCAGAACUGCCUUUGAUACUGGGAAGCUUGAGUCCGGGAGAGGUGAGUGGAACUCCGAGCGUAGAGGUGAAAUUCGUAGAUAUUCGGAAGAACACCAGUGGCGAAGGCGGCUCACUGGCCCGGUACUGACGCUGAGGUGCGAAAGCGUGGGGAGCAAACAGG
rnacentral:rRNA from 1 species